rnacentral:rRNA from 1 species
GACGAACGCUGGCGGCGUGCUUAACACAUGCAAGUCGAACGGAAAGGCCCUGCUUUUGUGGGGUGCUCGAGUGGCGAACGGGUGAGUAACACGUGAGUAACCUGCCCUUGACUUUGGGAUAACUUCAGGAAGCUGGGGCUAAUACCGGAUAGGAGCUCCUGCUGCAUGGUGGGGGUUGGAAAGUUUCGGCGGUUGGGGAUGGACUCGCGGCUUAUCAGCUUGUUGGUGGGGUAGUGGCUUACCAAGGCUUUGACGGGUAGCCGGCCUGAGAGGGUGACCGGCCACAUUGGGACUGGGGUACGGCCCAGACGCAUACGGGAGGCAGCAGUGGGGAAUAUGGCACAAUGGGCGGAGGCCUGAUGCAGCAACGCCGCGUGGGGGAUGACGGCCUUCGGGUGGUAAACCGCUUUCGCCUGUGACGAAGCGUGAGUGACGGUAAUGGGUAAAGAAGCACCGGCUAACUACGU